GAUGAACGCUAGCGGCAGGCUUAAUACAUGCAAGUCGAGGGGUAGCAAGAUUGUAGCAAUACAAUUGUUGACGACCGGCAAACGGGUGCGGAACACGUACACAACCUUCCUACAAGUGGGGAAUAGCCCAGAGAAAUUUGGAUUAAUACCCCGUAACAUAGCGAUGUGGCAUCACAUUGCUAUUAUAGCUUCGGCGCUUGUUGAUGGGUGUGCGGCUGAUUAGAUAGUUGGCGGGGUAACGGCCCACCAAGUCUACGAUCAGUAGCUGAUGUGAGAGCAUGAUCAGCCACACGGGCACUGAGACGCGGGCUCGACUCCUACGGGAGGCAGCAGUAAGGAAUAUUGGACAAUGGACGCAAGUCUGAUCCAGCCAUGCCGCGUGAAGGAUUAAGGUCCUCUGGAUUGUAAACUUCUUUUAUAAGGGACGAAAAAAGGUCUUUCUAGAUCGUCUGACGGUACCUUAUGAAUAAGCACCGGCUAACUCCGUGCCAGCCGCCGCAGUAACAC
rnacentral:rRNA from 1 species